UUCACGGGAUCCAUCCCUUCGGAAAUUGCGAGGCUCAGGAAUUUGCAGAAGUUGGACUUGUCAGGAAACAAGCUGUCCGGGGCUCUCCCACAAUCCAUGGCUCAGCUCAACAAGCUUGAGUACCUGUCGGUGGCAAACAACAAGCUUAGUGGAACUCUUCCAGUAAGUUUGUUUUCUUCUAUGAAAGAUUUGCAAAGGCUUUACCUCCAAAACAAUCAAUUCGCUGGUGCGCUUCCGACGUCACUCUCCAAUACCGUCAACCUGAGAUACUUCGACGCCAGCCAUAAUGGCUUC
rnacentral:lncRNA from 1 species